UACGUAGGGGGCAAGCGUUGUCCGGAUUUAUUGGGCGUAAAGAGCGUGUAGGCGGUUUGGUAGGUCCGCUGUGAAAACUCGAGGCUCAACCUCGAGACGCCGGUGGAAACCAUCAGACUAGAGUCCGGAAGAGGGGGGCGGAAUUCCCAGUGUAGCGGUGAAAUGCGUAGAUAUUGGGAGGAACACCAGUGGCGAAGGCGGUCCCCUGGGCCGGAACUGACGCUGAGGCGCGAAAGCGUGGGUAGCAAACGGG
rnacentral:rRNA from 1 species